rnacentral:rRNA from 1 species
CUACGGGCGGCUCCAGUGGGGAAUAUUGGACAAUGGAGGAAACUCUGAUCCAGCAAUUCCGCGUGGAUGAAGAAGGCUUUCGGGUUGUAAAGUCCUUUCAGCAGGGAAGAAGCAAGUGACGAUACCUGCAGAAGAAGCACCGGCUAAUUACGUGCCAGCAGCCGCGGUAAGACGUAAGGUGCAAGCGUUAUCCGGAUUUACUGGGCUUAAAGGGCAUCUAGGCGGCUAAAUAAGUCAGAGGUGAAAAGUCUGGGCUCAACCGAGGCCUUGCCUUUGAAACUGUUUAGCUAGAGUACGGGAGAGGAGGGCGGAACUACAAGUGUAGCGGUGAAAUGCGUAGAUAUUUGUAGGAAUGCCGAUGACGAAGGUAGCUCUCUGGACCGCUACUGACGCUGAAGUGCGAAAGCUAGGGGAGCGAACAGGAUUAGAUACCCGGGUAGUC